rnacentral:lncRNA from 1 species
CAUUCUUUGAGUCCAUUAAUUUAUUAUCGAUGAUUUAACACUGAAGUGUUAAAUAAGGCUUGUUGAUUAUUAAAUUGAGCCCAUGAGGCUAUUUAAUUUGAGGCCUGUAUGCAGAGGAUCUCUAUAUACGUGUUUUAAGAAAGCCCACCUUAUUCGUUCCCACAACGGGCGUAGAGUUACUUCCCUCUUUAGCUAUCACUUCCUGCCUGGACCUUUAUUGACGAAGAAUCGAUAAGUUCGAUAAGAAGUCGUGAAAGAAAGGAAAAUUGAUCUCUAAACUAAGCUAUCUCAUUUUUAAUGAUUUUAGGGUUCUAGCAUCCAUAUUAAUCUUGUCUCCUUCAAAACCUUAACUCAAAACAGUUAUCACAUAACUAACAUUUAGGUUCGAAACUAUUUAUUCGAACAUCAUCAUGCACAUCAAUCAUAACUCGUUCUACUCACGCCAUCAAGUCAAACAUUCCGUCAUUUAACUACAAAACAUAAAACAUAUCACAUAGACAAAUUAUAUCAUCAUAAAUCAUGCUUUCUCAUACUUAAAACAAUUUAAUCCCUUUUUUAUAAACCAUAUUAAUAAGACAUUUGAAAAGAAUUCUUUAAAUAAGAGUUUAACUCAAAAUAUUUUAUUUUAAAAGUUCAUUUAUAAAUAAUCAAAUAAAAGACUCCAUUUAAAUAAUAAAUUUAAAGGUUCAUAUGUAAUUAAAUUAAUCAAGCUCAAUUUAAGUUAUUAAAUAAAAGCUCAAAUAAUUUAAAUGGAUAUAAGCCCAAGUUAAUUAAAUAAAUUAAGUCCAUCCUAUUUUUCUUUAAAUAAGGCCCAAACAUUUUAUUUUAAAACAGUCAAUCAAUUUAAAAUAAAGGCCCAUCAGUUAAUUAAAUUAAAAGGAGGCCAAAGCCCAUUCUCAUGCUAAUCCUAACAUAAACACACACUAAAACACAUUUAAACACACACACUCAGCCACAACUUCACACACCCACACACACUCCACAGACGCACCCUCUCAUCUCUCUCUCUCUCUCUCGGACGGUCUGUCCGCCGCCGCCGGCGAGCGGCGCGGCUCUCCCUUCUUCGGCAUCUCUCCUCUCCCUGACCCCAGAUCCUCUUUCUAGACUGCCGAGACAAGGCGGCAGACGCAACCACCGCGGUGCGCCGCCGCUGCCCCUGUUCUCCCUCUCCCUCUCUCGGCCUCCGGCGAAGCAACCACCGCGGUGCCGCCGCCGUGAAGCAGGUAAACCCUAACUCCCUCUCUACUUUCCUCAUCUUCUUCCCCUUUCAAAUUAAAACUGAAAACUCCUCUCUCUCUCUUCCGAUUUGGCUGAAUCGGAGCAACGGCGACGUCACGGCUGUCACGUUACCGCCGCCGCCGACGACGACGAGCCACCAUGGCUCCGCCGCCGACCGCCGUCGAAAACAGGUAACCCUAAUUUCCCUUCUCUCCUUUCCAUUUUCUCCUACCACCUUCUUCAUUUUAAUUAAAAGCUGAAAACCCUCUCCUCUUUCCCCUUGUUGGCAGAUCGGAGACAACGGCAGUUUCGCCGCCGCCGCUCCGACGCCGGCGACGUGCCUCCGCGGCAGCCGCCUCCCUGAACCCUUCUCACACACGAAUCAGGGGAUUCAGCCCCGAUUUCAGUCAACACAUAGAAAUAGGCUUUUUACUGAAUUCAUUUUCAAAUAUUGUAAAUGUUCUUCAAUCGAGCAUACUGCACUUAAACAUUCAUUCUUGUAAUUGCAACCCUUCAUUUGUAUAUGUAAAUUCUGUUUAUAAACAGGCUGCAUAUGCACAUAAAAUGGAAUAUGAGAAAUUCGUAUGUGUUGGUGGUUCUCUGCUAGAAUUUCUAAGAUUAAAACAAGAAUUGGAUUGGUUCUGUAUAAGCAUUUUGUAUAGAUGUUAUGAUGAAUUCUAGUAAAUCAUAGACAGUGAUGACUGAAAUUCUUUACCUUAUCUUGGCUGCGAGAGACCUUAGCUUGGCUGCGAGAGAGGUGGUUGAUGAAUGUGAGAAGUGAAAGUGAUGUAGGUUAUAAAGGAAGAAUAGGG